CUGUAUUUUCACUUAUAUUAAGUUCUUGUUCACACCACUUAAUACUAGUCAUUUCAUUUGACCACCCAUAUAUAAAUCGCACAGCAGUCGUAAACGAUAUUCGUGAUUUCGCAAACCAAUUACCAUUACGUAUAUUUACCUUUUUUUGGCAUUUUUUUACAUUACAUUUCCAAAAGAUUUCUUUUCGAAAAUUCAAUUUUGCCAAGUGAUUGUUCGGACAAAUCCGUGCACUAGGCAACACUCCGCGUUCUUGCAGAAAAUAAACAGCCUCUUUCUCGGACGAUGGCAAAUUAAAAAAAUUCAUAUUGACUAGACGAUAUGUAUAACUAGACGUAGCGCUAAUAUGGACAAUAGGACGAUUAUAGAAUGACUGACGAAAUAAAAACCAACAUAAAAUGGUUAAAGUCAACUAAUUGGCUUAUAGUAGGUACAUUGUAUAUCUAAGAAAAAUUAAAUUCUACAUUACAAUGAUAUAGAUUACAACGCGGAAUUAUAUAUUUAUUAAUAAAUUACGGUCUACGGAGGUAGUCGAGAUAACCCCGAUGAUUCUAUCAGGUAGUCUUGGAAAUAUUUGGGUAGUCGAAAUAACACGGAAGUACC